rnacentral:lncRNA from 1 species
UGUUGCCUGAGAACCUGUCCCGCAGCACAGUGUUCUUAUCUCCGGGGCCCACAGGCCAGCGUGGGUUAUGACGCAGUGUCCUUUGCCAUGCGCUUAUCUAAUCAGCUCAUGCUUCAAAAUUCAGCUGGAUCAUUUCCGCUCUGCGAAGGAUAUGACAUGGUAACUAUCCAUGAGAAGACAAAGAAGUCAGCAAUCUGAUGCAAGAACUGAAAGGGAGCCCCAGCUAGAAUCUCACAGAGUAAUUAUAAAAGCAGAAGAAAGGGCUCCAGAGGAAGAGGCUGGAGGAGACACUGCAGGGAUAGGAAAGACUUGCUGGCCUUCUCCCUUCUGUGGCCACGCUCUUGACCUGGGAGGUCCAGAGCAUACUCUUCAUGUCUAAGGGGAAAGCAUUUAAAUAGAGGCUGGAAGCUUCAGUACUUGUCAACUGGUGAGUUCUAUAGAAAGGUAACAAGGAAGAAACUUCCUGUUUCCUGGAGAGACCUCCAAAUACCAGCAUCUAUAGACUGCUUCACCUGAUUCCCUAGACAGGAAUUA